CGUGCAAUCAUAUUGGAGAAAAAGACCAUGUCGACCCAUUACUCCUCAGUAUUCAAAUCUUCAAAAUCAAUUCCAGUGUUCUUUAAAAACUGAUUGAGAUCAGAAACUUUCCUCUUCAUGAAAAACGUGAAAAUAAAUUCCCAUUUUCCAGCAUUAAUUCCAUACUCAUCAGUGUAUGACCCAAUUAGUGUAUAUUGAAAACUCAUUCCAGCGUUGAGGAUUGUUACCUAGAAAUCCAGGGAACUCGUUGCCCAUGGAAACCAUCCGGUGUUGAUAAAAAGCUGCAUCGAUAAUGUGAAGCUCUGCCAUGAAAUUGGAAGCCCCCUAAUCUGUCACAUUGCUCAGUUAUUAGCUUGUUGCUUUGUUGCUUUCUUGAAGACCUUGGCUUGUUCUUUGAAAGAAGACGUUCCAUUAUUGUUGUUAUUAUUAUUACAACGUAAGAUAUCUCAUUUUGUAUGAACCGCCAAAAAGGAUCGAAAGACAGACCACAAGAUGGCGAAAUCGAUGGUCUCCACAAACCAAGCGACACGAACACAAUUUCCCUGCGAAGAAAGGAUACAAGAAAAAUGCAAUUUUUUUUCCUCUUUCCUUUCUUUUUCCCUUCCUUUCAAUUCUUCUACUUCACCAAGAAUCUUACGUUGUUUUGGCAUCUGAGUUGGAUAACUGCAAGAUCACGGUACGGCGAUUUAUGUGAAUUCGGUGCAGCAUUGGAGUCAGAAUCGUCCUUCUCGGAAUUAGAAUGCAUUUGGCAAUGCAGAGGCUGUUAGAAAUAACAAUUCCAGCCAUUUCGGGAAAUUUGUUGAAAUUCAAUUUGAUGAGAGUGGAAGAAUAUCAGGGCAGCCAUCAGAACUUACCUUCUUAAGAGAUCUCGAGUUUGUCAAAUUUCAGAUCCUGAACGCAACCAGUACUGUUUUUACCUUUUAUAUGCUGCACCACAAGAGGAGGUUGAGAAGUAUAAGCUGGGAAAUCCUAUAUCGUUUCAUUAUCCUAACCAAUCCACUAGCUAUGAACUGGUUGGUGUUAAUGAUGCCCAUGAUUAUCUUGUCACUAGGAGAGCUAUGGAUAUUGUUGGAAUAAAUGAGGAAGAACAGGUCUGGCCUUUCUGUGUCUAUCAAAUUAUAUGCUUUUCAUGUUAUGUGUUUUUUUUUAUAUUUUUCUAAUUUAUAGUUUUUGUUAUAAUUUAUAUAAUGAGAGUGAUAUUAUGUCCUUAAGGCAGGGUUUGUGACUGCUAUUCUUCAUCUUGGUAAUAUUGAUUUUGCAAAGGAGGAAGACAUUGAUACAUCAGUCGUAAAAGAUGAGUGCAAAUUUCAUCUUCGAAUGACAGCAGAGCUUCUCAUGUGUGAUCCUCAUUCAUUGGAGGAUGCAUUAUGUCAGCGUGUAAUGAUAACCCCAGAAGAAAUUAUCAAGAAAAGUCUAGAUCCUCUUGGUGCAGCAAGAAACAGGAUGGUUUAGCCAAGACAAUAUAUUCUCGGUUGUUUCAUUGUUUUUAACAGUUUUGCAUUAAUUUAACAAAUGAAAAGCUGCAACAACAUUUCAACCAGGCGUGAGGGUAGUCAUAUUUGACUACUUUGGAAUGCUUAUGUCUGUCACUGUAUAAUCUUUGUGGUUGUGGUGCCAUUCAGGACGUGUUCAAGAUGGUUCAACAAGAGUAUAUAAAAGAGGAAAUUGAUUGGAGCUACAUAGAUUUUGUUGAUAACCAAGAUAUUCUGGACCUUAUUGAGAAGAAAACAGGUGGGAUCAUUGCCCUGCUUGAUGAAGCAUGUAUGUUUCCAAAGUCAACUCAUGAGACAUUUGCAGAGAAGCUUUAUCAGACUUGCAAAGAUCACAAGCGAUUUUUUAAGCCAAAACUCACUCGCACAGAUUUUACCAGUAGAAGCCUCUUUCAUUCAUUUUCUGAGGAGACAGCCAAACCAUCAAAAUUCUCCUCCAUCGGAUUGCGAUUUAAGCAACAACUGCAGCAGUUAAUGGAUACUCUAAACUCUACAGAGCCCCACUACAUUAGAUGUGUUAAACCAAAUAACACUUUAGAGCCUGCUAUAUUUGAUAGCAUCAAUGUCAUGCAACAACUACGUUCUGGUGGAGUUCUAGAGGCAAUCAGAAUCAAAUGUUCUCGAUACCCUACUUACAUGACUUUUUCUGAAGUCCUACACCGAUUUGGAAUGCUUGCACCAGAGAUUUGGAGGGGGAACUAUGAAGAGAAGGUAGCAUGCAAAUGGAUUUUUGAAAAGAUGGAGCUUACUGGGUAUCAGGAAAACACACUCGCCAAUUGUAUAAGGAAAUGAGACGAGGCAGCAGCUGUCAAAAUUCAGAGGAAUUUGUGUAGACAAUUGGCCAGAAGGUCAUAUAAUGAGAUUAAGUCCUCUGCUGUUGUCUUGCAAACAGGUUUACAUUCAGUGGCUGCACGUAGUGAAUUCAGAUUUAAAGAGCAAAUAAGGCAGCAACAGCUGUCCAGGCCUAUUGGCGCUCCCAUAGAGCUGUUUCAUGCUAUAAGAAUCUUAAGGAAUCAUCGGUUGUUUCACAAUGUAGUUGGAGAGAAAGAACAGCAGAGGGACAGGCUAUGCCCUUAAAUAUGGAGGUAGAAGAAGAUUCACUUGUGGAAAAAAAUGAUAAACUUGAAAAACAAGUGGAGGAACUCACAAGCCAUUUGCAAUCAGAAAAACAAUUGAGGAUUGAAUUGGAAGUAGCAAAAGGGCGAGAGAUAAUAACAUUGUUGCAUUCCCUGAAAAAUUUGCAAAACCAAGUUGAUGAAACGAAUGCUGUGCUUCUCAAAGAACGCAAGGAUGCAUAUAAAGAAAAUUUAGUACAUCCUUUCACCACAGAAGAUGAGAUGUUGAUAUAUGCUAUCCUUUUGAGAUAUUCCAUCAAUCUUCACAUUUUUCAGUUUUAAAUAAAUGUUGAAUUGGAGUGACUGAAAAAAGGAUGAGAGAUAUAAGAUAUAAAUGUGUAGUCAAAAUGAUUAUUUUCAAUCAAGAGCAAAGCUGAUAACCAUUGGGGAGGAAAAUCAGUUCUGAAAAUAGUUAAUCAAGCACAAUGAGAUUGAGAAAUUUGGUUUCUGAGUGAGAAAAAGAAAAAGAAGAAAUCAAUGUGAAUAGAAGAAAUCAAUGUGAAUAGAUUAUAUGAAUAUGGAUAGAUUAUAUGACCUUUCUCAUUGU